UGGGGAAUAUUGCACAAUGGGCGCAAGCCUGAUGCAGCCAUGCCGCGUGUGUGAAGAAGGCCUUCGGGUUGUAAAGCACUUUCAGCGGGGAGGAAGGCGAUAAGGUUAAUAACCUUGUCGAUUGACGUUACCCGCAGAAGAAGCACCGGCUAACUCCGUGCCAGCAGCCGCGGUAAUACGGAGGGUGCAAGCGUUAAUCGGAAUUACUGGGCGUAAAGCGCACGCAGGCGGUCUGUCAAGUCGGAUGUGAAAUCCCCGGGCUCAACCUGGGAACUGCAUUCGAAACUGGCAGGGUAGAGUCUUGUAGAGGGGGGUAGAAUUCCAGGUGUAGCGGUGAAAUGCGUAGAGAUCUGGAGGAAUACCGGUGGCGAAGGCGGCCCCCUGGAAAAAGACUGACGCUCAGGUGCGAAAGCGUGGGGAGCAAACAGG
rnacentral:rRNA from 1 species